CCCUUAGAUGUUCUGGGCCGCACGCGCGCUACACUGACGGAGGCAGCGAGCAUGUCCUUCGCCGAGAGGUGUGGGGAAUCUUGUGAGUCUCCGUCGUGCUGGGGAUAGAUGGUUGCAAUUGUCGAUCUUGAACGAGGAAUUCCUAGUAAGCGCGAGUCAUCAGCUCGCGCUGAUUACGUCCCUGCCCUUUGUACACACCGCCCGGCGCUACUACCGAUUGGAUGGCUUAGCGAGAAUUUUGGAUCGGAGCCCGGGUGGUCGGCAACGGUCGCCCGGGAGAUCUGAGAAAUCAUUCCAGCUUGGUCAUCUAGAGGAAGUAAAAGUCGUAACA
rnacentral:rRNA from 1 species